GCGCAAAACAGAAAAUUGGGAUUGAGCUGUGAAUGAGAUGGGCAAGAAUGAUUGGGGAUUGGGGUUUUAUAAUGGGGGGUUUUCGUAAAUAAAGAAUUGGGACGGCAACAAGGAGACAAAUUCUUGGAGGUAAGUGCUUGAUUUUAGGUGAAAUCGACGAGUCUGCAUAGUAAUUGAAUAAUUGGGGAUGUUGAUUGGAGGAAUGCAGAUAAAGUAUUCGAUGAAAAGAGCAGCCAUUUUUGCUUAGCUCUGCAUGCAAUGAGCUCUUUGUCGUUGUGCGAUUUGCCUUUGCUGCGAAACCAUGUUAUUGGCUGCAGUCCACGUGGCGUGUGUCGAAGCUUUUGUUGCUUCUUUGUGUAUCUAUAUUUUUGAUGUUUUAUUUAUAAAAUGUAUGAUUAUUUUGAAA
rnacentral:lncRNA from 1 species